AUUUGCUUCCUGCCUGACUCUGACUCACACAGCAGCCUGGGGCACAAGUCCUACCAUCUGUGGGCCUGGGCCGGCUGGCGGCACAAAGAGGAGCAGAAAGUGUGCCUCGAUGCGCAGGACAUGAAAAACAAGUGAUGCCGCUUCCUGUGUGCAGACAUGGAAAGAUAAGGAAGAGGCUUAUGAUGUUGGAAAAGAAAACAACAGCGGCAACAGAAACCAAACCUGAGGGCAAGACAAACAGUAUAUGCUAUCGUUUGUAUAAAAAUAAAAUAGAGAGCCAGAUAUGCACAUACCACCCCCGGUCCCCCCAAAAUAAAGAGCUCAAUGGCAGUGAAGGGCU
rnacentral:lncRNA from 10 species